ensembl:lncRNA
GUUUCGGACAGGUAAUGGCGGACAUGCGAUAGUUCGGGCUGACUUAUAUUCCAACAUAGGAAGUGUUAUAAACAGCUGAUCGGAUCGGCAAAGCCUGUUUCUGGAAUAUUGUGUUUUUGUUGCUGCAAGUCUGGAAUAUUAUGUUUUUGUUGCUGGAAGUGCUUUUUAUGCAAUUUUUUGCAAAGCUAUAUGUGGAAGAAAACCGUGACCUAGGGCAAGCUAAUGGAAUAAGAUGACUUUGGGCCACGUUGCUGUACCGACCCCAUGAGGUGGCAGUGAGUUGAGAGUAGAGUUGAGAUGGCAGGAGUGACGCCCACUGUGGUCUUCUGCUGCUGCUUCAUCCGUUUUAAGGUUCAACUUGACACCCACGUGUGCUCUUCUGCAAACCUUGGCUGUAUCAGGAAGGAAGGAAGGAGGAAGAGGGAGUGCAAUAAACUGCAUCUGCUGCUACAGGCCCUGGACAAGCAAAGCAAGAG